rnacentral:rRNA from 1 species
GACGAACGCUGGCGGCGUGCUUAACACAUGCAAGUCGAACGGAAAGGCCCUGCUUUUGUGGGGUGCUCGAGUGGCGAACGGGUGAGUAACACGUGAGUAACCUGCCCUUGACUUUGGGAUAACUUCAGGAAACUCGGGCUAAUACCGGAUAGGAGCUCCUGCUGCAUGGUGGGGGUUGGAAAGUUUCGGCGGUUGGGGAUGGACUCGCGGCUUAUCAGCUUGUUGGUGGGGUAGUGGCUUACCAAGGCUUUGACGGGUAGCCGGCCUGAGAGGGUGACCGGCCACAUUGGGACUGAGAUACGGCCCAGACUCCUACGGGAGGCAGCAGUGGGGAAUAUUGCACAAUGGGCGGAAGCCUGAUGCAGCAACGCCGCGUGCGGGAUGACGGCCUUCGGAUUGUAAACCGCUUUCGCCUGUGACGAAGCGUGAGUGACGGUAAUGGGUAAAGAAGCACCGGCUAACUACGUG